rnacentral:rRNA from 1 species
CGGUAAUUCCAGCUCCAAUAGCGUAUAUUAAAGUUGUUGCAGUUAGAAAGCUCGUAGUUGGAUUUCGGGGCCUGGACGGCUGUCACCCACUGGGUAGGCGUGCCGUCCGGGUCCUUUACUUCCGGGGACGGCGUCAUCAUUAGUUUGAGGGCGUUCGGACGCGGAUCGUUUACUUUGAAAAAAUUAGAGUGUUCAAAGCAGGCUUUCGCUUGAAUACAUUAGCAUGGAAUAAUGGAAUAGGACUCUGGGCCUAUUUUGUUGGUUUCUGGGACUAGAGUAAUGAUUAAUAGGGACAGUUGGGGGCGUUCAUAUUCCGAUGUCAGAGGUGAAAUUCUUGGAUUUUCGGAAGAUGAACUUCUGCGAAAGCAUUCGCCAAGGAUGUUUUCAUUAAUCAAGAACGAAAGUUAGGGGAUCGAAGACGAUCAGAUACCGUCGUAGUCUUAACCAUAAACUAUGCCGACUCAGGAUCAGGCGAUGUUCGAAUUCGACUCGCUUGGCACUGUGUGAGAAAUCAAAGUUUUUGGGUUCCGGGGGGAGUAUGGUCGCAAGGCUGAAACUUAAAGGAAUUGACGGAAGGGCACACCAGAAGUGGAGCCUGCGGCUUAAUUUGACUCAACACGGGGAAACUUACCAGGUCCAGACACAGUAAGGAUUGACAGAUUGAGAGCUCUUUCUUGAUUCUGUGGGUGGUGGUGCAUGGCCGUUCUUAGUUGGUGGAGUGAUUUGUCUGGUUAAUUCCGAUAACGAACGAGACCUCAGCCUGCUAACUAGGCCGUCGAUCCACGCGAUCGGUCGGCCUUCUUAGAGGGACUAUUCGUGUUUAACGAAGGGAAGUUUGAGGCAAUAACAGGUCUGUGAUGCCCUUAGAUGUCCUGGGCCGCACGCGCGCUACACUGAUGCAGGCAACAAGUUCUCUACCUUGACCGAAAGGCCUGGGUAAACUUCAAAACUGCAUCGUGCUGGGGAUAGACUAUUGCAAUUAUUAGUCUUCAACGAGGAAUUUCUAGUAAGCGCGAGUCAUCAGCUCGCGUUGAUUACGUCCCUGCCCCUUGUACACACCGCCC